UGAAGUAAUUGUUGAAAAAUCUCUAUACAUAUGUUAUUUUAAAAUAACACUCAACUUCUAUAUAUAGUCAAUACAUAUGUGCAUGUUAUAUUCUAGACUAAAUAUUUUCUCUUUUAAAAAUAUAGAAAACAAUUUUUUUAGUCUACAAGCAAAUGUUGUAGAAUAAGUAUGCAUUAUACAAAAUAAUAUCCUACUAUAUAAAAGGAGCUAAUUUGAAAGCUCCUAAGCUAUGCCACAUAAGCAUAAAUAUUCUCAUCCAACCAAACUUACAAGUCAGCUACUCUUUUACUUUUUAGUGUAUUAUAAUUCUCAACCAAAUAUUAAGAGCAAAGCCACUUCCUGCCAUUCUGAAUAUCCGUCAUAACGUUCCUCCACCAUUAAACCCCUAAAUUGCUAUAAAUUUCCUAUGGAAACCUACCUCUUCAAAUAUUCUCCCUCUCUUUGUCUCCUCCACAUUAAGCUAAUUAAUGGGAAACAUCUCAACAACGUCAGAAUAUUAAGAACAUGGACGGAUCAACUCUUCAGCGAGAUUUGAUUCACCUAUAACUUAGAGAUCAGACACUUACGGUUACAUGGUACAAUCCAUUACGCGUUCUCUUAUGCUAUUAGUUGAUUGAUCUAUAUUUGUUAAUGGUAUGGUUUUAUUUUGGUACAGUUGCGUGUGGUUUUGAUUGCAUGAUUGUUUGAUUAGAAAAUGAUUGUAUAAGAGCGACAAUAGUGUGACAUCUGCAAGACACAUUGUUAAAGGCAGCAGUAACAAUCAGGUUCCCUCUGUUUGGUACGGUUCAGUACACCCGAACAUGAAAUGGUAUAAACUUAAUGCCGGCAAACCGACGUGAGAAGCUUCCAAAAGAGGAAUAAAUUGCUAUCCUAAGCCUCAUAGCAAACGACACCAGUCAAUUUUUUUAAAAUUUACGUUACAGCUUUCUACGUCAAUUAAAUAGGCACACUCAAAUACUAUUUUCUCUUACGAAUAUUAAAUUCAUCAACAUAAUUUAUUAUUCAAACUUA